GUCACCUAGAAUCUGGCUGUUAACUGUCACCAUUGCUGAGAGUCUCAACAUAGGGCAAAGUGCUCAGGGAAGCUGAAGGCUGAACUUUCAGCCUUUCCACUGACCCCGAAAGCACUUUGGGCUUCUCUGAGGACAAGCCUGCAUCUCAAGGAACUGCAUUAUAUUAUUCUGCGGAGGGAAGUUGGAGACAUCAGAGAUGGGUAGAUAUUCCCUUGCUUAUGCAGGAAGGUUUUUACUUCUAGAACUUUGUCUUUUGUAGAUUUGAUGAAACCCUAAAAAUGCUGCUUGUUAAGUAAGAAACUGCUGCUUUGACUCUUGUAGGGAAAGCACCAGGCAGGCAAAGCCCUCCAGGGAGUAAUGCCACCAAAGGAGAGGAAAAGCUACGUUUCCAAAGGCAAAAAGUAGGCCUGUGACUGGGACAACAGCCUGAAUGCUGGCAUUGGAUUAGCCACAUCGCUGAAAUGAAUCUCAGACUGUACAUAGAGUCAAUGGUGAAAGAACUCCAUUUGAGAACAGGUUUUUGGGCUUGUCAUUCAAGCUUCUCAGAAUCUGGAGAACUGCCUGAUUCACUGACUAUGAAUGGUAAACACUGUCCAGGCGGUCCGUGCUUCUACUUUGGGUUGAGGAAAUGAGUCAGACCAUCAGAGGUGCUGAAAUGGAAUGUGUCUUCAAGUUACCUAUGAGAUACCUGGGUGCAAGGCAUCCAUGGAGCAUCAUCCUUUUCUGCAGUUUUGGACUGUUUUGCACAACUUGACCUCACCUUCCUCAUUCUCAUACUGUGUGCUCACCUUCCACCCAAGGGCUUCCCUGUUGAUACUGUCCAGAGGUCACAUAUGUAAAACCUAUAGAGUGAGAGAGUUAAUGUGCCCUGGGCCAAAACUUUAAUCAGUGGAAAAUGGAGAGGGUGGAUAAAUGUUCUCCCUUUCUCCCCCAGAUGAACUGUCCUGAACUGUCCAUGCGGCUUCUCGAAGGAUGGAACCAAGGAUGGAUCAGUCAUCCUUAGUAAAGAUCAGCUUUAUGAUGUAUCAUAUACUCACCCCCUUUCUCUGCUUCUGUGCCUUUUUCCCACUUUUCUACAACAUGGUAUUGCAUCUCCCAAUGAAGAAAUCAGGCUCUGAUUACUGACACACUCAGGGUAAACAGUUAACCUCUGGACAAAACCGACACCUCAGCUGCAUAUGUCUGAAUACCGUAGUAUGUUUAUUGUCUUGCUUCCUCAAUAUCCAUUUCUUGACCUGCUCUAAGUUAGAGUUAAUUAUAGAAUAUUAGAGCUGAUAGUUACUAUUGGGAAGAAUGUGUCCCCCAAAAAAUCAUAUGUUGAAACUCUACCUAUGUGAUGGUUUCAGGACAUGGGUCCUUUGGGAGGUAAGUAGAAUUUGAUGAGAUCAUGAAGGUAGAGCCCUCAUGAAUGGGAUUAAUGCCCUGAUAGGGGUUAUGAGAGAACUGGCCUCCUCUCUCUGCUCUCUGUCAUGUGAGAGUACAACAAGAAGUUGGCAGUCUGCCACCCAGAAGAGUUUUCAUCAGAACUCAACUGUGCUAGCACCCUGAUCUCACUUCCAGCCUCUAGAACUGUGAAAAAUAAAUUAUUGUUGUUU
ensembl:lncRNA